CAGCAUUUGUCAAUAUGUGACCGAGACAGCAAAGCUACUGGGAGGAUAUCUGAAAGUGGAAGGGAAGACCAGGAACAACCAGGAUUGCUUUCAAACCUCUCAUCAGAGUGGUGGCGAAUGGUCUUGUCACAUGGGGAAGAAUGGAACCAGUCUUCAAGCUCAGCAUUGGCAUUUAAUAUGGGUUUUCUGUCUCCGAGAUGACUGAGGAAAAGUGAGCCCACCCCUGCUCUCUACUAUCUAGCCUCCCACCUCUGGCAG